rnacentral:rRNA from 1 species
GUUGUAUGGUUAAGUGACUAAGCGUACACGGUGGAUGCCUUGGCAGUCAGAGGCGAUGAAAGACGUAGUAACUUGCGAUAAGCCCAGAUUAGGUAGUAACAACCAUUUGAGUCUGGGAUUUCUGAAUGGGGAAACCCACUUACAUAAGUAAGUAUCAUUAACUGAAUACAUAGGUUAAUGAGGCGAACCGGGGGAACUGAAACAUCUAAGUACCCCGAGGAAAAGAAAUCAACCGAGAUUCCGAAAGUAGCGGCGAGCGAAAUUGGACUAGCCCUUAAGCUUUACACGCGUUAGACGAACGGUCUGGAAAGUCCGGCGAUACAGGGUGAUAGCCCCGUAGUUGACGACGUGUGUUCAGUGAAAUCGAGUAGGGCGGGACACGUGAUAUCCUGUCUGAAUAUGGGGGGACCAUCCUCCAAGGCUAAAUACUACUGACUGACCGAUAGUGAACCAGUACCGUGAGGGAAAGGCGAAAAGAACCCCUGUGAGGGGAGUGAAAUAGAACCUGAAACCGUGUACGUACAAGCAGUAGGAGCAGGCUU